AUUUAAGCCACCAAUAUGAAAGAAACCAAGUAGAGUUCUCCAUGGACUGGCGUAAGAAUUCUAGAAUCAGCUACUGCCGUAAGUUGAUUAGAAAUAAGAUAUAUGCAAUUCUUAGUUCCGGAGCCAAUACAACAGGCAUCUGAAAUUGCAAAUAUUCUGGAAGAGUGGUUGUUUAUUGAUGCUACUUUAGAGGAGGAGUAUAUGAACGAGGAGACGUUGAUACAGCGAUUUCAUACUCAACUGAAUACGGUGUUUAGGACAAAAUGCAGUCAACUACAACUAGAUAGUUCGAUUCCUUCCACAUCUCAUACAGUACCCUCAUCUCAGACAAAAUGCAGUCAACUACAACUAAGUAUGAACUGGCUGGGCCAUAGAAGCUUUACCACGAAGCUCAUAUUGCUGCCUAAGAUGUUUGAAAUUCUGUUGAAAAUUCAACUUCUGGGGUUGACAUUGCCUUAUAUCUCCAAGGCUUGAACUAGAGGUCAGGACGGGAAAAAGAUUGGAAACAUCUGAAAUUUCCCUUGACAGAUGUUGAGAUUGCAGCAAAUUUGAAGAUUCAAAUUGGAGGGAUUUUCCCGUUAUAGUAUGAAAAGCCAUAAACUCAUUUUUCCGGGUAGUUCUCGAAUAACCUCUAUAUCCAAUUUUGUCUUGCAUGCCCUCAAAAAAUAGCUUUUGCAUUGAACAUAAAUGGCAUGUGUUAGCAUCCAUUC